AUUGAACGCUGGCGGCAGGCUUAACACAUGCAAGUCGAGCGGAGAGAGGUAGCUUGCUACUGAUCUUAGCGGCGGACGGGUGAGUAAUACUUAGGAAUCUGCCUAUUAGUGGGGGACAACAUCUCGAAAGGGAUGCUAAUACCGCAUACGUCCUACGGGAGAAAGCAGGGGAUCACUUGUGACCUUGCGCUAAUAGAUGAGCCUAAGUCGGAUUAGCUAGUUGGUGGGGUAAAGGCCUACCAAGGCGACGAUCUGUAGCGGGUCUGAGAGGAUGAUCCGCCACACUGGGACUGAGACACGGCCCAGACUCCUACGGGAGGCAGCAGUGGGGAAUAUUGGACAAUGGGCGGAACCCUGAGCCAGCCAUGCCGCGUGUGUGAAGAAGGCCUUAUGGUUGUAAAGCACUUUAAGCGAGGAGGAGGCUUACCUGAUUAAUACCCAGGAUAAGUGGACGUUACUCGCAGAAUAAGCACCGGUUAACUCUGUGCCAGCCGCCGCGGUAAAAC
rnacentral:rRNA from 1 species